AGGGGAAGAGAAAGGGGGGGGGGGCGGGCCCGGGUUGCGGAGUUCACAGAGAAGGGAAAGAAUACAAUACAAAAAAGAGUAAGGAAAUUCUUGUAGGCUUCAGCUUGAUAACUCCCUUAAUUUUCCUUUAAAUUUUAAAAAGACUUAUAUAAAAUGUAUAGGUUGUUCACUAUUUGUACACUUAAAUUGGAAUUUAAUUACAGAUGGUUACAAUUGACAUCAUCACCCUAAACUCCAUAUAUAAUUGAUAAAAUUGAAAGUCAUCAUCAACUUAUUGACAAAACCAGAAAGAACACGAACAGGAAAAGAGGGGAGAAGCAAGGCAAGAGGAG
rnacentral:misc_RNA from 1 species